rnacentral:lncRNA from 10 species
AGAAAGCUCCUUUCAUUGGUGUGUUCAGAGAGCCCUUGAUUAUGAAGACUCAGUACCCUGCUUGGAAAACAAUCUGAAUGAAUGUGUUUCAGUGUGGGAGAUGGGGAAGUCACGCAGGGACAGUCUGGGAAGGCAGGAGGGAGGCUGGUAUUUACCUUCCUGCCCUCUGGAAGGGUGGUGGCCUUGCAGAUCCCAGUCCCAGCCUUUCUUUCGCUCAGUUUCCCUGGGUGGAAACUGGGCUUGUGAAAAUGAUGGUGGUAAGGUCUCCGCGCGUCCCUGGUAACACCUAACCAGGAGCCUCUCUCUGCUGGAGGCUUCAUGAGAGCAACUUCUCCCUUCAUCCUGCCAGCUGAGGUGAUGACAGCAAACCACCACCGCCACAAGCCUCAUGCCAUCCCAGCCUGGAAUUCUCUCCCCGGCGCAGACGGUGCCCCUGCAGAGAUGAGGCCAUGAGGCCCUCGGCAGAGCCAAGGAGCCUGAUCACAUAUUUAUUACUGGCACCAACAGCAGGGAGCUACCACACCGAUUACUUGUUCUUUUGUUUGACUACUAUCUAUUGAGUAUCAGCUGUAUGCCAGGCAGUGUCCUAGACUCCAUGGACAAAGCAGGGAACAAGGCAUCCAGGUCCUGGUUUCUGAGCCUCUUGCAUUCUGUGUGGGAGAGAGAUGAUAGGAGCAGAAAUAAAAAAGAUCUACUUCCCCAUCCCAUUGUUUGUUCUUCCACUUUGCUAUACAAAGACAAACUUCUGACCAGGUGCGGUGGUUCACGCCUGUAAUCCCAGCACUUUGGGCGGCCGAGGUGGGCAGAUCACGUGAGGUCAAGAGUUCGAGACCAGCCUGAACAACAUGGUGAAACCCUGUCUCUACUAAAAAUACAAAAUUAGCCGGGUGUAGUGGUGCAUGCCUGUAAUUCCAGCUGCACGGGAAGCUGAGGCAGGAGAAUCGCUUGAACCUGGGAGGUGGAGGUUGCAGUGAGCCGAGAUAGUGCUUCCAUACUCCAACCUGGGCGACAGAGAGAGACUCCAUCUCAAAAAGAAAAAAAAAAAGACAAACUUCUCAGUCCUCCUUAAUCCUAGAAUAGUGCAUUGCCUAAGGGAUGCUAAAAACCUUCUAAGGGCAUUUAAGGGACAAUUUGAAAUACCGGUGUAUGCGCAGCCUCCCUUAAGCAGAGUACCCUAUGGUGGGCAGCAGGAGAGCGUUCUGUCUUUUCCUCACGUGUGGAUAUUCUGUUAAGUGUGAAAUCCAGCUUUAGAAUUGGGAUAUUUUGACCCACAUUGGGUUAUUCUGAAUUCAGACGGCGAGAGUGAUGACAAUUUUAAUUUUAUGACUUGACCUCUUCCAAAGGCUGGCUCUUGACUCAGAUGUGUUGCUGCCAAGGGAGAGCCUGAAAGACCGAAGCGAAGGCAGAAUGACAAGAAACCGUGGAGUCUGCAGCAACCACUUCAAACAGGAGACAGGCUCAUGGCCGAGGCUCCCUUCCUUAUCCAUGUAUCCAUGUUAGAAUUAGAAUUCAGAUGCUGUUAGAAUUCUCAAGAAGGUGUAUAAUAAGUUAUCUUGGGCUGGACACUGUGGUUCAUGCCUGAAAUCCCAACACUUUGGGAGGCUGAGGCAAGAGGAUCACUUGAACCCAGGAGUUUGGGACCAGCCUGGGCAACAUAGUGAGACCCUGUCUCCACAAAAAAUGCAAAAGUAGUCAAGCAUGGUGGUGCACACCUGUAGUCCCAGCUACUCGGGAGGCUGAGGUGGGAGAAUUGCUUGAGCCUAAGAGAUAGAGGUUGCAGUGAGCUGAGACGAAGCCACUGCACUCAACCUGGGCGACAGAGGAGACCUUGCCUCAAAUAAUAAUAAAGUUAUUUUGAAUUGAAAAUAAAGUUAGACUCUUG